AUUGAACGCUGGCGGCAGGCCUAACACAUGCAAGUCGAACGGUAACAGGAAGAAGCUUGCUUCUUUGCUGACGAGUGGCGGACGGGUGAGUAAUGUCUGGGAAACUGCCUGAUGGAGGGGGAUAACUACUGGAAACGGUAGCUAAUACCGCAUAACGUCGCAAGACCAAAAAGGGGGACCUUCGGGCCUCUUGCCAUCGGAUGUGCCCAGAUGGGAUUAGCUAGUAGGUGGGGUAACGGCUCACCUAGGCGACGAUCCCUAGCUGGUCUGAGAGGAUGACCAGCCACACUGGAACUGAGACACGGUCCAGACUCCUACGGGAGGCAGCAGUGGGGAAUAUUGCACAAUGGGCGCAAGCCUGAUGCAGCCAUGCCGCGUGUAUGAAGAAGGCCUUCGGGUUGUAAAGUACUUUCAGCGGGGAGGAGGGGAGUAAAGUUAAUACCUUUGCUCAUUGACGUUACCCGCAGAAGAAGCACCGGCUAACUCCGUG
rnacentral:rRNA from 1 species